rnacentral:rRNA from 1 species
UACGGAGGGUGCAAGCGUUAAUCGGAAUUACUGGGCGUAAAGCGCACGCAGGUGGCUGAGUCAGUCGAUUGUGAAAGCCCUGGGCUUAACCUGGGAAUUGCAGUCGAUACUACUCAGCUAGAGUAUGGGAGAGGGCAGUGGAAUUCCCGGUGUAGCGGUGAAAUGCGUAGAUAUCUGGAGGAACACCGGUGGCGAAGGCGGCGUCCUGGACCAACACUGACACUGAGGAGCGAAAGCCAGGGGAGCAAACGGG